UAACCUGCUUGGAGUGGGAAUAACAGUUGGAACAGCUGCUAAUACCGCAUGAUGCAGUUGAGUCGCAUGGCUCUGACUGCCAAAGAUUUAUCGCUCUGAGAUGGACUCGCGUCUGAUUAGCUAGUUGGCGGGGUAACGGCCCACCAAGGCGACGAUCAGUAGCCGGACUGAGAGGUUGGCCGGCCACAUUGGGACUGAGACACGGCCCAGACUCCUACGGAAGGCAGCAG
rnacentral:rRNA from 1 species